AGAGUUUGAUCCUGGCUUAGAACUAACGCUGGCAGUGCGUCUUAAGCAUGCAAGUCAAACGGGAUGUAGCAAUACAUCUAGUGGCGAACGGGUGAGUAACGCGUGGAUGAUCUACCUACGAGAUGGGGAUAACUAUUAGAAAUAGUAGCUAAUACCGAAUAAAGUCAAUUAAUUUGUUGAUUGAUGAAAGGAAGCCUUUAAAGCUUCGCUUGUAGAUGAGUCUGCGUCUUAUUAGUUAGUUGGUAGGGUAAAUGCCUACCAAGGCGAUGAUAAGUAACCGGCCUGAGAGGGUGAACGGUCACACUGGAACUGAGAUACGGUCCAGACUCCUACGGGAGGCAGCAGCUAAGAAUCUUCCGCAAUGGGCGAAAGCCUGACGGAGCGACACUGCGUGAAUGAAGAAGGUCGAAAGAUUGUAAAAUUCUUUUAUAAAUGAGGAAUAAGCUUUGUAGGAAAUGACGAAGUGAUGACGUUAAUUUAUGAAUAAGCCCCGGCUAAUUACGUGCCAGCAGCCGCGGUAA
rnacentral:rRNA from 2 species